ensembl:misc_RNA Metazoa_SRP Metazoan signal recognition particle RNA
GCUGGGCAUAGUGGCGUAUGCCUGUAAUCCCAGCACUUUGGGAGGCUGAGGCAGGUGAAUCAUUCGAGGUCAGGAGUUUGAGACCAGCCUGACCAACAUGGUGAAACCCUGCCUCUA